GUAUGAAGUGGAUGCGUAAAUCUCUAUUUUCGAACGUUCAUAAAAUUACAUUAUUCAACGACAUAUGCGUUCUGUUCAGUUGUUGUUUUUGUCAUACCAACCACUUUUGUUUUCAGUGAGAACCAACAUCAAGUUUACCAGUGAAUAAUUAGAUAACUUUUGCACCCUGGGUUUUGUAAAACUAUUCGUAUCAUUUUCUGCAGCAAAAAGCUAACGUUUUGACAAUAGCAAUACAACUACUCGUGAUAAUAAACAUAAAAAACGAUGGAUGCGGAUGCAGCUAUUAAUGAUACAGCAACAGCUGCACCUCCACCUUUUGAUACGGAUCCAGUUAUUAGCGAUGUAAUCGGUGUUGUGAGGAAUACAGGAUUCAUAGUCUUAUCACCCUGUUCCACCAUCUGUAUGGUCAUUCAUCUUUAUAAGUUUUUUCGAACUAGGAAUACUCAAAAUUUGGCUACAAAAAAUUUAACUUUUUAUUGUAGCUUUCUGUUAUUGUAUUAUGUUUGCUAUUUGACAUGUUGUGUAAUAGAAAAGAUGCCAAACUAUAAUUUUGAAGUUUCUUUACUCGUAUACGAAGUAUAUUGCAUUCUUCUUGUAUUAAUGUUCUACCUGGAAUUCAAUAAUGCUUUUGUGAAAAACGUUAUCGCUUUAGACAUAUGCCUAUGUUUUCGAAAAAUUACUAUAUACCUACAACGAUCCUCGGGUUCUCAAAACAAGAAAUUCUUUGUUUAUUGUCUUCUUGGCGUAUGUUUACCAAUCAUGUACACCACUUUCCUGGCAAUUUUUUUUUAUGAACAAUUGAGUCUGGGCUCUAUUUGUGCUUUUGAACUUCCCCACGCGACUUUUAUCAUUCGCAAUAUACGUUUAAUUCCAAUUUUUGGAGCAUUUUGGUACCUAAGAUCAGCCAGUAUUGAUAAAACAGAAUUGUGGAGACGAUUUUCUUUACAUAUACGUCUUCUUAUUAUGAUCGGUGGAUUCUCUACAAUUUUAACAUUUAUAGACUUAUUUUUUUCGAAUUACACCAUUGGAAAGUAUAUAAGUGUAGGCGGCAUAUACCAGGAAUUAAGUAAUAUUGGUAUUCUGAUGGAAGGAAUUGCUAUCGGGGUAUAUUUCACGUUUAGGAAAGAUACAUUUAAAUCUUCAUCUACUACAACUCGUGUCACCCCCCACACCACAACCACUAAUACAACUUCUAUUAGUAGCUGUUAAAGCAAAAAACAAUAAAAAAUCAGAAAUUUUGAAAACUUACGAGUACAUAGGUGGGUACAUAUUUCCUCACUCGAUGUGAAAAUCGGCCAUGCCAAAUAUCCCUUUGGUUAAAACACAAUUAAUAUAAUCAAGUACCUACCAAUUCAAUUGGGUAAUUAUUUUUAGCAUCAAGACGAAAAAUUAUGAAAACGCGAAAUAGUACAGUAAAGUUGAUUUAAUUUUGAAAAUCUCGCCUAUAGGUAAAUCAAAAAAGCAGGAACAGCCUAUUAAUGAAAUUUGAAAACCAUUAGGUAUAGAAAGACAAAAGUAUUAUACCUAAGUAUACAUCCGGUAAAAUAAUGUAAAUUUAAACAUAAAAUCGGUGUAAAGUAUCCUCUCCAAGGACAGCUGUAAAUCACGGAUAUGUUUUUUUAUGCUUAAGCCGAGUCAAUAUUUCGAAUUCCAAAUUUUAAAAAAGUCGAUGACAAAAUAUCAGAAAGUAAUUUUUGGAAGUUCGAUAGAAACCUAUAAUUUUAGUACCAAAUUCAUUGAUUUUUCAAAAAGUCUGACAUAAAGUAGACAGUUAACAGAUUUUUUUCCCCAUAUUUUGAAAAAUUAAGCUCACACUAAUUGAUUUUUUUUCAAGUUUUUAAAAAGUCUGCCAUAAUCAGGCGUGUUAACCAGUUUUUAACCAUUAUACCUAUAACCACAAAUUGUAACUACUCGUAUAACAUUAACAGUUUUCGGAGAUCAAAAUGAACCGUAACCAUGACCGAAAAUUUUUUCGAAAAAACCUAUUAAAAAUCGAAAAAACACUUGAAAAGAGCUGUUUUUUUUCCUUUUCAUCUAUGGGUUUUUUAAUGUGAUUUGUGGUGAUUUGAAAUUUUAAUAGAAAAAAUCAUGAAAUUAUAAAAAACAAGCAAAAUUACCUGCCCUUUGGGCAGGGGAUAGAAUUUAAUACGUGUACGUAGUACGUACUGAAGUAACCUUCAAAUUUCUAUGAAGAUAGUAUGUAGUAUAUAUACUCGAUGAAAGAAAAUCUCGCAAAAUAUACCAUAUACUCGUAGUUGCUGAGAAAUUAUAAAAAAUUGUUAAUUUUCACAUUUUUUGGCUUUAUUGUAAAAUUUGAGAUUUCAUCCCAAGGUCCAUUUCUCCUGGACGAAUUCCGGAUGACAUUUUUAAAAAUCCAAAGCCCAGUGGAUCAUAUCUACCUUCCAACUUGAGUCUAUGGUCAAAAUUAGAAAUUGUGCGAUUUGAACCGCAGAAAUGAAUCGCGUAUCAACUUUGAAUCGGAUUCAGAAUCAGACUCUGAAUUGUAUUUAAAACAAAAAUGAAUCGGUGUAGUUGAAUCGCAACAUCAUGAUUAAAUUUUUACUAUCAAUUUACCCAUCUUUCCAAUCGGUGGGUUCACCAUUCAAGUCAUUUUGUAGCCAGAUCCUACAGCAGAUUUUUGAAAUUUGAAAUUUCCACAAAAUUUCAUCAAAUGGAUUUAGAAAGCCAAAAUUUAAUCUGCAAACUAAUUGCAAUACCCUGUGAAAUCUAGUGCAAGAGCUUUCAACUCGUUUUGAAGCUUCUAGUUACUUUUUGGUCCUUCAAGGUCGACAUGCACGAAACAAUAGGGGAAGCUAUUGAUCAGAUAGACCUCCCUUGCCAAAUUUGUUAAAUCUUGAAAACGUUUUGCCAGACUCGACAAAGUCGUUAAGUUUUGUAAAUUUUUAGUCUCAAUAAAGAGAUUUAUUUACCAGAAAAAAAACAUGUUUUUUUUUUUCUUCUCGAAAUACAAAAUUUUGAGAGUUUUUGCGCUAAAUUUUAUUGGGUCUUUUUGCUUAUGUUUUUUAAAACUGAAAUUUCUACAAAAAAUCAGUCAAAUUUUUAAGUCAGAAAAUCGAAUUCUUCCCAUAAAAAAAAACACAUCGUUCUCUCAAUCUCAACUAUCAAAAUGAAAAUUUUCGAAAGCUUUUGCCCUCGCUAUUCCUGGCUCAAUUUGUUCGAUGAUUAUAUUUGUAUUUACAAAAUGAAAAUCAAAAUUUUUUAUACUCAAGUCACUAAUUACCCACAUAGAUGUAUCAAAUUUUUAGUCUAAUAAAGGGAUUAAAUUGCCGACUUUUUUUUUGAAUUUGAAGCACAUUUUUGGCUCAGACCUGUUCGUUUUUAUUUGGGUCUUUUUGCUUUCUUCAAUUUAUUAAGUAGAUUCAAAAAUAUGAAAACUUUCUGCUUUCAUCAACAAAAAAUUUCAGUUUUUCGUCAAUUUUUUUUUGAAUUUUCAAAUGAAUGAAAUCGAAACCUCGUGACAUUUGGCCCCACCUCAUUCCACUUUUGUUGUAAUGUGAAAAUUCUUGCUUGUGAGAAGUCGAAGUUGUUAAAAUCAGCGAAUGAUAUGUCGUGUAAUGUCAUGUCAUGUCAUGUCAUGUCAUGUCAUGUCCAAAGUUUUCCUCCGAAAGUUCUAAGAAAAUUUAGUAGGAUAAGGAAAUUGGAAAUGACCGAAUUUUUCAGUACAAUCUUUUUUUUGAAAAUUUUCAAAAUCUAUUUGCUGAAUUAUAGGUACCUACUCUGAAGCGAUGAAAUUCAAGAACCUGCGUUUGUAAUUAUCAUAAUAUUGUAUAAGUAAUGUGAAUCUAUCCACCAUAUUUUGUUUUCACGUGUACAUAAAUUCACCAAAUAUACGCAUGUGAUUCAUAGACGUACCCAGACCCACA